GAAAGAAUUGAUGCAGCUCAAUGGCACAACCAAGUCUUUGGUAGCAAACCAUCUUGCUGAGUCCAUAGCAAGAUCCAUGACAAUAAGAGCUUUUGAGGAGGAAGACCGGUUCUUUGUCAAGAAUCUUGACCUCAUUGAUGUAAAUGCUACUCCAUUUUUUCACAGUUUUGCAGCAAAUGAGUGGUUGAUCCAGCAGCUCGAAACACUUACUGCAGUUGUUCUCUCCUCAUCAGUGCAUGGGUUUGCUCCCUUCGGGAACUUUCAGCUCUGGAUUUAUUGGAAUGGCCUUGUCCUAUGGUCUCUUAUUGAACAUGUCCUUUGUUAUGUCCAUUCAAAACCAAUGCACUCUAGCAAAUUACAUAAUUUCUGUGGAAAGGCUCAACCAAUAUAUGCACAUACCAAGUGAAGCUCCAGAAAUGAUAGAAGAGAACUGACCCCUUGUAAAUUGGCUGACUAGGGGUAAAGUGGAGAUUCGGGUAAAUUUUUUGUGCAUUCGCAUUUAAACUGACAAAGGAUAGUAGCACACUGACUGAGAAAUAUAUACAUGAUGUCAAAACUGAUCAGAUAUAAGCCUGAUGCACCACUUGUUCUUCGUGGGAUAAGUUGUUCAUUUGAAGGAGGACACAAAAUUGAUAUUGUUGGAAGAACUGGCUGUGGGAAGACGACUCUGAUAGGAACUUGUUCAGGAUGAAGAAGAUAUAAUUAAAUUCUGUAAAGAAACUGGGUUACCUGUAGCACUGGAUGAAACCAUUGAAAAUGUCUAAGAAAAUUCUCUUGGAAUGCUGGCAAAGUUUACUCACUCAGGAGUAGUUGCUGUCGUCAUCAAACCAAGUGUUGUUGGGGGUUUCGAAAAUGCAGCAUUGAUUGCAAGAUGGGCUCAGCAGUAGGGGAAGAUGAGUGUUGUUAGGGCUACAUUUGAGAGUAGCCUAGGUUUGUCAGCUUAUGUCCAGUUCUCAUAUUAUCUUGAGCUGCAAAAGGCAGGUAUAUGUAUGGCAAUGAACAAGGAACCUUCCCCUUCUAUAGCACAUGGUCUUGGAAAUUACGGCUGGCUUAAAGAAGAUAUAACUUCUGAACCUCUGAAUAUUUGUCGUAAUCCAUGCAGUGGCUUCAUAGAAGCAUCUGUUGAUGAUGCUGGCUGUCUCUUGGGGAACUUUCAAGUCGACAACAAGGUCAUCCUUUGAAAUUUUACUUGGGAAGAAGUUCAUAAAUACCAGUUAACAGUUAAUUCAUAUGGUUUCUCUUUUUUCAUCAAUGUACAUCAGAUUGGAUCAAGCAAUGAAGUAAGCACUGGAAUUUUAAUUUUUAUGUUAA